CAUGCAAGUCGAACGAUGAAGCCUUUCGGGGUGGAUUAGUGGCGAACGGGUGAGUAACACGUGGGUAACCUGCCCUUGUCUUUGGGAUAAGCCCUGGAAACGGGGUCUAAUACCGGAUAUGACCUGCUCUCGCAUGGGGGUGGGUGGAAAGUUCUGGCGGACAGGGAUGGGCCCGCGGCCUAUCAGCUUGUUGGUGGGGUGAUGGCCUACCAAGGCGACGACGGGUAGCCGGCCUGAGAGGGCGACCGGCCACACUGGGACUGAGACACGGCCCAGACUCCUACGGGAGGCAGCAGUGGGGAAUAUUGCACAAUGGGCGAAAGCCUGAUGCAGCGACGCCGCGUGAGGGAUGACGGCCUUCGGGUUGUAAACCUCUUUCGCCCAGGACGAAGCGAGAGUGACGGUACUGGGAGAAGGAGCACCGGCUAACUACGUGCCAGCAGCCGCGGUAAUACGUAGGGUGCGAGCGUUGUCCGGAAUUAUUGGGCGUAAAGAGCUCGUAGGCGGUUUGUCGCGUCGACUGUGAAAACCUGGGGCUUAACUCUGGGCUUGCAGUCGAUACGGGCAGACUUGAGUUCGGUAGGGGAGACUGGAAUUCCUGGUGUAGCGGUGAAAUGCGCAGAUAUCANGAGGAACACCGGUGGCGAANGCGGGUCUCUGGGCCGAUACUGACGCUGA
rnacentral:rRNA from 1 species